rnacentral:sRNA from 1 species
GCUGGGCACAGUGGCAUAUGCCUGUAAUCUCAGCGAAUUGGGAGCCUGAGGCAGGAGGAUCUCAAGUUCUAGGCCAGCCUUGGAAGCUUUGCAAGGCCCUAAGCAACUUAGUGAGUCCUGUCUCAAA